UACGAAGGGGGCUAGCGUUGCUCGGAAUCACUGGGCGUAAAGCGCACGUAGGCGGAUCUUUAAGUCAGGGGUGAAAUCCUGGAGCUCAACUCCAGAACUGCCUUUGAUACUGGGGAUCUCGAGUCCGGAAGAGGUGAGUGGAACUCCGAGUGUAGAGGUGAAAUUCGUAGAUAUUGGGGAAGAACACCGAUGGCGAAGGCAGCCAUCUGGACCGACACUGACGCUGAGGCGCGAAAGCGUGGGGAGCAAACAGG
rnacentral:rRNA from 1 species